rnacentral:tRNA from 8 species
GUCGGGAUAGCUCAGCUGGUAGAGCAGAGGAC